UGGGGAAUAUUGGGCAAUGGGCGCAAGCCUGACCCAGCAACGCCGCGUGAGGGAAGAAGGUCUUCGGAUUGUAAACCUCUGUCCUUGGGGACGAAAAAAAUGACGGUACCCAAGGAGGAAGCUCCGGCUAACUACGUGCCAGCAGCCGCGGUAAUACGUAGGGAGCAAGCGUUGUCCGGAAUUAUUGGGCGUAAAGGGGGCGUAGGCGGCGCUGCAAGUCAGAUGUGAAAUCCCCGGGCUUAACUCGGGGGGUGCAUUUGAAACUGCAGUGCUUGAGUGCAGGAGAGGAAAGCGGAAUUCCUAGUGUAGCGGUGAAAUGCGUAGAUAUUAGGAAGAACACCAGUGGCGAAGGCGGCUUUCUGGACUGUAACUGACGCUGAGGCACGAAAGCGUGGGGAGCAAACA
rnacentral:rRNA from 1 species